UAACUUUGCCAAAGAUCUCUGACAAAGUUUAGACACAUAAAUUUUGAAGGUCCAGCUACCCUACUAUUACUUACAAGGGUAAAGGAACAGCACCACUGCUUGAUAACUAGAAAGUCCCAAUGUGUGUCAACCUCUGUGCUCCGUGGCAAGGCAAACUGGCAAAAAUGCCCAACCUUUACUCACAUUCGAGAAAACACUCUCAACAAGAUUGCUUGCUUAAAAAUCGAAGAGGAACCACUCUCUGAAUCUCGAGAGCCAGACUCCCAACAUGAUUACUUUCUAAAAAAUCAAAGGGACACGGCUUUCCGAAUCUCAAGAGUCAGACUCCCAACAGGAUUGCUUUCUCAAAAAUCGAAGAGGCACCGUUCUUUGAAUCUCAAGAGCCAGAUCCCUGACAGGAUUGCUUGUUCGAAAACCGAAGAAGCACCGCUCUCUGAACUUCAAGAGCCAGAUUUCCUUGGAUAAAGCUUGUCUGCAAUCUUCACACGCACCAUCAGCUUUCCAGAUGCCACAGACCAUUUUUUCAAAGCACUCUGACAAAGUUAAAACAUGUGAAACUUGCAGCUCCCACUACAUUGCUAUGACCAAUAAGGGUAAAGGAAUAUCAUUAUUACUUGCUCAAAAAUCGAAGAGGCACCGCCUCCGAAUCUCGAGAGCCAUACUCCCAACAGGAUUACUUUCUCAAAAAUCGAAGAGGCACCGCUCUCCGAAUCUUAAGAGCCAGACUCUCAAUAGGAUUGCUUUCUCAAAAAUUGAAGAUGCACCGCUCUCCGAAUCUCGAGAGCCAGAUCCCCAACAGGAUUGCUUGUUUGAAAACCGAAGAGGCAUCGUUAUUUGAACUUUGAUAGCCAGAUUUCCUUGGAUAAAGCUUGUCUGCAAUCUUCACACGCAACAUCAGUUUUCCAGAUACCACAUACCACUUUUUCAAAGUGUUCUGACAAAGUUAAAACACGUGAAGCUUGCAGCUCCAACUACAUUGCUACGACCAAGAAGGGUAAAGGAAUAGCACUACUACUUGUUGUUAGGAAUACUCCUAUAUAUGUCGACCUCUAUCCUCCACAGCCAGGCAAACCUGCAAAUAAAAAAAAUGCUCAACUUUUCUUCACAUCCGAGAGGGCACUUUCAGCAGAGUCUCUCGAAAUACUCAGCUUCUUUUUCUCCCGAUAAUACCUCUACAAACAAGCCACACCAGAGCAAGAGUAUCUCAUAUCAUCAGGGUUAAAAGCAAGAGUAUCUCAUAUCAUGCUUUUUCCUUAUCUUUUCCUUUGGCCUUGUUCUUACUUGCAAGACAAGGAGAAAGGGAGCAGUCAGUCAGCACUUGGAAUCAAGCUUCUAGUCAGGAACUGACUGCUUGGAACCCCUUGCCUGAUUACUUACCUGACAUUGCUCUCGAGUACUCAUCUUCAACAUCUUAUGCUUUCAGAGAAGAUACCACAUCUGCCUGAGGAACAGAUAGAGCAAGUGAGAAGGAUACAAGGAAGCAUGUGGAGAUAAGCAUAACAGAACACGUGCUGAUACAUCCACUACUUUGUCAACAUCAAAAGUAUCCCAUAUCAUCAGGGUCGAAUGUACUCUAGAUUUGAUGGACUUGUUUUGACCCUCAAAUUCUUAAGUCGGCCUUAUACUCUGGAGGGAACCAGAAAACCCUCCAGCCCAGUUCAAGAAUAAGCCUGUGGAAAGUUACUUCUUCAAAAGCAAAAGUAUCUCAUAUCAUCUCUUCUCCAUUUGCUUCUCCUUAUCCUUGGUGCUAUUUACGACACAAGGAGAAAGAGAACAAUCAACCGGAAGCCGAAGUCGAACCUCCAAUCCAGGUUGCUUGCUUGGAAGUCUGAUUGCUUACCUUGUCUGUUACCUCAUUCGAAAAAUCUCCUAACUCGGUGACUUGGGGGACUCCUACUAUAGGGUUUGUAUUGCACUUGACCAAGCCCGAAACUACAAGUAAGCUUCAAGUGAAAUUGAUACAUUACCUUGUGCAUCUUCAUCGGUUAAAGAUACCACCCCUAGAUGGAGGAAAAAUACUUCCAGAGAAGAUGCCACAUCUACAUAUGAAACAGAUAAGGCAAGUGAAAAUGAUACCAUACUUCAGUACUUAGAAGUUUCGUGAUUACUCAAUGGCUUUGAUCUUGCAAGUCCCCAACCGAGGAGCUUCCCUCACUCGGGAACUUAGGGGAGCACUGUUUGUACCAUACUUAACCAAUCCCGAAACUACUGAGCACCGGUCAACGUUAUACCAUCGAGGACCUAGAAGAGUUUCCCUCUAACCAGGAGGCCAAUCAUAGCACAACACAUGUCGACAUCAGAAGCCAAUCAUAGCGCGACACGUGUCAACAUCAGAAGCUAAUCACAACACGACACGUGUUAAUGUCAGAAUGAAACUAAAAACUCUCUUCUAUAAAUAGAAAUCAUUCUCUCACAAUAUUUCCUAAUGUCAUUUGUACUAAAUCAUUCACUUGUACUCACUAAAUGAGAGCUUGAACCUAUGUACUUGUGUAAACCCUUCACAAUUAAUGAGAACUCCUCUACUCCGUGGACGUAGCCAAUCUGGGUGAACCACGUACAUCUUGUGUUUGCUUCCCUGUCUCUAUCCAUUUACAUACUUAUCCACACUAGUGACCGGAGCAAUCUAGCAAAGGUUACAAACUUAAUAUUUUCUGUUGUACCAAAGUCCUCGCUGAUUUUGUGCAUCAACAUAAGGUAUUUGGACCUAUCAUUCCUACACUACCACGCGUGAAGCCCUUUGGCUACAAGUGGGUUUUCGUGAGGAAGCGUAAUGAGAAGAAUGAAAUAGUGCGAUACAAAGCACACCUCGUAGCGCAAGGCUUCUCUUAGCACCCAGAGAUUGCUUACGAGGAGACGUAUUCCCCCGUAAUGGACGUUAUAACGUUUCGCUACCUAAUCAGUUUGGUAGUUUCCAAAAAACUGAAUAUGCAGCUUAUGAACGUGUUAAUCGUGUAUCUCUAUAGGGAUCUAGAUACGAAAAUUUAUAUGAAAGUUCCAGAAAGACUUCUAUUGACUGGCUUAAAUAGUUCUAGACCACGGAACACUCUUUCAAUUAGGUUGAGGAGGUCACUCUACAGAUUAAAACAAUCCGGGGGGAUGUGGUAUAACCGUAUGAGUGAAUAUUUGACAAGUCAGGAUUAUGUGAACAACGAACUAUGCCUAUGCGUGUUCAUAAAGAAGUCACAUUCUAGAUUUGCAAUCGUUGCAGUUUAUGUCGAUGACAUGAACCUCAUUGGGACUCCCGCAAAGCUUGAGGAAAUUGCUACACACUUGAAAUCGAAAUUUGAGAUGAAGGAUCUUGGGAAAACUCGAUACUGUAUCGACCUCGAAAUCGAGCAUUGUUCAGAUGGAAUCUUAGCACAUCAAUCGAACUACACCCAAAAGGUGUUACGACGUUUUAAUAAGGAUAAAACGAAGCCUUCGAGUACACCCAUGGUCGUUCGGACUCUAGAUGCUAAACGAGAUCCCUUUCGUCCAAAGGAGGAUGAGGAAGAGAUUUUGGAACCCGAAGUUCCUUACCUAAGUGCAAUUGGGGCUUUAUUGUACUUAGCUCAGUGCACUAGACUUGACAUUUCAUUCGCUGUGAAUCUAUUGGCUAGAUACAGCAAUGCGCCCACACGCAGGCACUGGAAUGGUGUUAAAGACAUUUUCCGCUACCUCAAAGGUACUACGAAUUUGGGCUUGUUCUAUACCCGUGAAUCUCCAAGUGUUGCCGCCCCCUAUGACCCUCUGAUUGAUUCUCGCCUUGUUGGUUAUGCAGAUGCUGGAUAUCUGUCUGACCCACAUAGAGCACGUUCUUAAACGGGUUAUGUCUUUACCGUUGAAGACACCGCUAUAUCUUGGAGGUCUACCAAGCAAACGCUAGUUGCGACUUCGUCUAACUAUGCUGAGAUUAUCGCCCUAUAUGAAGCAUCACGUGAGUGCUUUUGGUUGAGAGAAGUUAUGGAACAUAUUCGAAGCACUAGUGGUCUUACAUCAGUCGUUGACCUUCCUACGACGAUCUUUGAAGACAAUGCAGCAUGUAUCGAGCAGCUGAAGAAGGGAUACAUCAAGAAAGACAACACCAAGCAUAUAGCACCAAAAUUCUUUUACUCAUACCAGCAGCAGCAGCAUCAGAACAUUGAAGUCAAACAAAUCCAUUCCCAGGACAACCCAGCCGAUCUUUACCAAGUCAUUGCCCAAGUCUACAUUUCAGAAGCUCGUCCAAGGAAUCGGUAUGCGUAAAUUAUCUGAGUUGAAUCGCUUGUAGUUCUCUUAUUUAGAAGUUAUGUCUAACUCAGAGGGAGUAUAUAGAAGCAUACUCAUAUGAUCUUAAUGUACUAUUUUUCCUACGAUUAAGAGCAUUUUUGCCACUGAAUUUUUGCUACCUAACAAGGUUUUAAUGAGUCACCCAUCCUGGGAUGAUCAACUCCGAUGAGUUCACUACCUUCGUCCAGUUUGACGAGUGUUUUAGACAUUAUGCAUAUUUUCUUACUUUUCUCCUUAGUCUAUGGGUUUUCCCCAUCCCUUGGGUUUUACCAUAGCAAGGUUUUUGUGAGUUUUUACAAAUGCAUACUUCAAAGUAAAUUUGAGACUCGCGAUCAUCCGUUGUGCCGAUGACUUCAUCAACUAUUAUACCUUAUCUGCUGAAGAUCUGAUACGACAGUUUGUUGAGUAUUUACACACUCAAAGGGGAGUGUUGCAGUCAUAUUUAGAAUAUGAAUGUGAUUGUGUAAAUGCUAGGGAAUCUGGGAAUGUAUCUUAUAUUCCUAUUAGGAUUUAGAUUACCUAUUAAAUGUUGUAAUCCUAAAGGGAAAGGUUUUACCCUUCCUACUACUAUAAAUAAAGUCACAAUGGGGCGAAUCAAACACACAUCACAAUUAAAUCAAUUUCUCUUCUCCCUAAAGCUCGCCGCACCCUUCUCUCUCUCUAACCCUAGAUCGCUUAAUCAAAUAGACCUACAACAGACAGUUCUUCUUUUAAGAGGCCAUAUACAUUUGCUCCAGCAUAUAAUUUGAAAUUAAGUGGUCCGUUUCUCUAUAAUUAGUCCACAUGUGCACUGUCCACACACGUGUAUUUGUCAUCACAAUAAAGCUAAAGUAUACCAAUUUGUCUCUAGCUAGCUUAGCACAAAGAUUAGUAGGAUUUUAUACUUGUUUAUUCAAAGUACCAAAUUUCACAUGUCCCCCUUCGUUUCUUAAUUAUUUGUUUAAUUAUGCUAAUUAAGGUUUUGGGUCCAAGAACCAACCCGAUCGCCGGUCCACCCGAGAAGGGUCCCCAAUCUUUACUGCAUAUCUUCCAAAGUAGUCACCACUCUUUUCGUUUUUUAUCAAAUCGUAUCUUUCUGUCUCAUAUUUUACAAAUAUUUGAAGCCAUUUGUUAAGUUGGAAUCCUAAAUAUAAAAUAUAAUAAAAUACAAAUUGUUAGAAAAGUAAUGAUAAUUUCAAGUUAAUUUUGCUUACUUAGUGAUGUGUUAGCUUAAGCAUUGAUUCAUUUCAUCUGGCCUUUAUAUAUAUGCUUGUAAAGUUUAAAGAUCGAUGGUAGGGUUCCUCGAAAGAAUUGGUAGAGAGUACAUUGAACAUGGGAUCCAAUUUCUAUAAGAAUAUUGGGAUGGCUUUAAGCUACAUUUGUUAUCAUUUUGAUGUGCAGGGUGCAAGUUAAUGAUUUUAUAAGAUCACCUAGUGUGUAUACAUGUGAUUCUAACACAAUUUUAGUAUUAUUCUAUGCCUGCAUUGAGAUAAGUAUUGCAGAAACGGAUCAAAUUCCGACAAAGAUAUUACUAAAACACUAUAAAUUUGCUUCAAGUCCAUAUUUAAUUUUUGUAAUGCAUUCCUAAAAAAUUUAAAUUAAAUUUCAUAAAACGUUAAAAUAUCUCUUAUAAGCGCACUCUAAAAUAUAUAUUAAAAGCAUACAUUAUAUUGAAGAAUCAUUUUUAACACUUUAGAAAGCCACACACACACACACAUAUAUAUAUAUAUAUUCAUGAAUUGUAAAAUAUAAGGGAAAAAAUUGCAUUUUGAUAAAUGAAAUAUGACCGUCUUAAAGUGUCAAUAAUAUCUUCUUUCUAUUGGAUUUUUUUAGGUUGUAGAUUGUAAAAACACACAUACUAUGUGUUUUAAGUGUAAUUCUUUCGAAGGUUGUGCUAUUCACACAUUUCUUUUUAUUUUUCACAUACAUGUUAUUUUUGUUCAUUGAUAUUCUUCAAUUAAUUUGAUCCGACGGUCAAAAAUUAAGAAAAAUGUAUGAAAAGUAAAAAUAAUUGUGUGGAAAGCAUCACCGUUAUUUGAACGGUUCACAAUUUUCAUCAAAAGAUGUACAGCGAUUUGUUCAGUUUCUUGUGCAAACUUUUCUACCUUUAAUCGUAGAACAACAUUAUCUGUCAUAUAUGCAACGAAAAGCUUUAUAUGUACAACUUUUUAUGCUCUUUAAAUUUAUUUUGGGCAAAGUUAAUUGUAGUGGUUGCAUUAUUUCGAUGAUCACGAACAAAAAUAAUUGAAGGAGAUUGUAGGACUAUCGUGCUUUCUGAGCCGUCUGAUAGCACUACAUCAUGGCUCUUCAUGUGCCACACAACCCUACACUCCAUAUCUGAAUCCUCUUCAGAACAGAAGCAUCAUUGCAACACCAUGAUCAACCUCCUCACCAAAUUGAUAUCGAAAGAGUCGAGCACUGAAAUACGGACCUUGAAAGUAAGACAAAUGAUCUUAACCGCUUGAGUUAUAAGUAGAUUGCCUCGUUAAUUGUUAAGGGUUAUUUAAUAAUCAUUUUUCCUUCAAAAAAAAAUAAAGUCAUUUUGUUUUGAACGAAACUGUUGAUAUACAACGGUAGAAGAGGAGACCUCAUGGGAAGGCUUAUGAGGACGACUGCAUGAUAGUCCUACUCACUGGAAACUAGCGCGAAAGCGAGGGACCGACUUUCUCAGAAAGGGAGACGCUCCUCCUGAAGUGGCCGUUGGUGGAAAUUGGAAUACCGUUAUGGUCGGCUGCCGUUGGACACGUGUUGACAUCGCCUCGAUCAGCAACCACAUCUUCUUACCGCGCUUUGACGCGAGUUUGUCGGAGAAAAGCGGCAUUUCUUGGAAGCCUUAAUUUGGGAACACAUGGUUCUUUCAAUGCUCACGACUCAUGAGAUGAUGAUAAGUUUAGGGCUUGAUUAAUUCUUUAGAGCAAGUCCACCGGUGGUGGAUUAGGCCAGCACUCAGCACAAAAAACAGGCUGGAACCCUGUCCAUUCACCCCAGCCCACAAAACAGCCUGGCACCUAGCCCAAGUUGGUUAGAUUUUUUUUUUUAAAAAAAUACAGUAAAAUUUUAAAAAAGUUAUUAUUUUUUCUAUAAAUACCUAACCCUCAUCUUCCACCUUACACCACAUUUCAAUAUUUUCUACACCUUCUACCAAAGCUUUCAUAUACUUUUUGUGUGAAAAAAAAAUACCAAAAAGCUCAUCCUUAAUUUAUUUGAUGAGUUUAUGUAAUUUUAUUUUAGUGUGUUUUUUUUAAGCUUAUUUGAUGAGUAUGUAAUUUUAUUUUAGUGUGUAUUUUUUUUAAGUUUAUUUGAAAUUUUAUCCGAAAUUGGUUAAAAAUCUUAUCCGAAAUAAACUUAAAAAAAAAACACACCAAAUAAAUGCGUUGGGUGCCAACGUAUUUUUUUAGGGGUGGAGAUGCCUUGGCCUAUUACUGUUCACUCCAGUCUAUUACUGUUCACUUGAGUGGAUAAAUAUGCUAGGUGCUGGUGCAAAGUCCUUAGGGGUGAACUUGCUCUUAAGCCUUACAAAAUAGUACAAUAAAAUUAUUUGAUCACGAAAUAUUGACAUACUUAUUGACACACUAUAUAAGAGGUGGGUCAUACUAUUGUAUAUUGUCUCUAUUUGUAUUAUAAAGCGUGUAAAAAAUGUCUGUUUUGUGUUUUCAAAUAACAUCACCCGGAAAUAUAUUAAGACAUUUUGUUAAGUUCUUGGCUUAAAGUGUGGAUAUCAUAAAUUUAAUCAUUGAUAGAUAGCAAGACUGAUACACAUCCUUCUGCUCAUGAUAACAAAAUGAGACAAGGACAAAAAGCAAAUGCGCUUGACAUGAAAUUUUUUAGCAGGGCUACAUAUACUAGAAGAUAUGAAUAUUUGGGCCAAUUCACGUUAAGAAAAUGACUUGUUAUUUUUUAUACAAAAGUAUAUAUUCAUAAUAAGAGAGCCAGAAGAUUAAAUAUUAAUAUUAAAUUUGUCAUUUACGAAAUUUGAUUGAAUUGUACUAAGAUAAAAGCCCACAAAAAUAUUUGGGCCAGUGAUGAAAUUUUACGAGCCCGUGGCUUUCAACUCCAAUGCCAAGAUUGCAAUUUGCAGUCCGUAACUGCCCCCCCCCCCCCCUCCUUUUACCCGCCAAAACCCCAUAUUCUUCCUCUAUCAAUCAGUCCAAACGACCAACAACCAUGGCGAUCAAGCUUCUUGUUGCUUUGCUCUGCGUUCUCUUCUCCACCGCCGCUACACAACCGUGUUAUCCUCCGUAUCCCCAAGAGCUCAUCAAUUCAAUGGGACCCACUCUCUCACCUUCUUCUUCUUCAUUCCCUCCGACCCCAACAGCCUCAAUCGAGUCAAACCCAACGACUCCCGUCGUCCCGGCGCUCUUUGUCAUCGGAGACUCACUGUGGCACCAACAACUUCCUCGGAACCUUCGCCCGUGCCGACCGCCUCCCCUACGGGCGAGACUUCGAUACCCACCAACCCGCCGGGAGGUUCUGCAAUGGCAGAAUCCCUGUCGAUUAUCAUGGUAAUGUUGCUUCUUUAACCAUUUUCUUGCUUAAAUUCUAGUUUUUUUCAUCUGUUUUUUUUCUUUCUAAAUUCUUGAUUCAUUUAAUUGUAUUUUUCUUCUAAGAAAUGCAGAGGCUGCGAGGAGUUUUUUUGUUGUACUUUAGCCUGUUAUCUCAACAACUUAUAAACUCACAGUUGAACAAUUUAAAAUACAAGAAAUAAAGACACCAAGAGAAUUACGAGGUUCGGCAAAAACCUGCCUACGUCCCCGGAGAGAUAUUGCUCUUCACUAUGAGAAUAACUAGUACAAAAUAUACAUGAGUUAAAUUGACAUAACCCAAACCCCAAUCUCUUUUACACUCACAUAAUUUUUCCAAGAGCCUCACUCUCCCCAAGAGUUUCUCACUCUCACUCUAUUUUCUUUUCCCUCUGUGUUUCCGGAUGCACUCCUACUUUUUUUUCACACUCGGAAAGCAUUCCUUUUAUAUCCAAUGCAAGCAAUUCCUUGCAUUUAAAUAAAAGCCAUCAUUUUCAUCCCCCAGCUAUUACGGCUUCCAUGAUGAUUAUGUCUCCAAAGUAAAAAGCAAACCUUGCUUUUCCUUUAUCAUUCCACACGCCACCUUCACGUGAAGAAUGCAAAUGAAAACAUAAAGUAGACCUUUUUCAUGCAUAGAAAGCAUACAUAUUUACGUGCAAACAAACACAAAUACAACACUUUGCUACAGCCAUUUCCUUAUAGCACAUAAAGCUAAACUAUCAAAAUUGUUGCCAACUCAAACUAUGAGCCAAUCACAACAAUCUCCACCUUGGCGAAUACACCAUGCAAAAAUCAUUGCACCCAUCACCAAAGCUCAUUGGCCUUACGUAUCAGCAUACACACCCUGAAUCAACCUCGUUGGUCCUGUUCCGAUUCAGUCACUGCCAAUGCAUGUGCAGCUGCUGCAAGCUAAAAAACACCAUUUAGCUUCAGACAGGAUCUCGACACAUCCUCGUCUCCUCCUGUAGGAUUUUCCCCUCUUUAUUGUCUGCAACUUGGAAACUCGUCAGUGCACCCGUUUUCAGCAACAACCCAUCGAGCCAGACAAAAUUCCCCACACUUCUCUUCCUUCAGGACCAUCUCAUCACCUGUGAAUCCCAUAGCUCCACCUGCUGCAAAUCCCUUGCAACACUCGAGACUAAACAUCACCAAGAGAAGUGUUGCUUCGAGUACCUAGAGGGCAUACUCGAAGUCUUCUGCCACAAAAUUGCUACUACUCGGACCAAGAUCAUCCUUUCUUUCUCAAAGGACAAUUUAUCUUUUUAUGCCCGAAUUCUUUACAGGCGUAGCAUUGUAGACCCUUACCUCCGGAGCUUGAUUUGGACCUACUGUCUCUCUCAAAGCCUCCUUUCAUUUUUCUUCCACCAUUCCCACCUUGAACAGCUAAUGCAGUCUCGUACCCAUCAUCAACAAUGGUCUUCUUCUUUUGAGUAUCAUAAGACACCAAAGAAGCCUGCACCUGCUCCAAACUUACUGUAUCUUUUCCAUGCAGUAAAGUUGUCACAAGAUUCUCAUACGAAUCUGGGAAUGAGGUAAGAAGUAAGAGGGCUUUAUCUUCUUCCUCAACCUUGACAUCAACUUUCCUCAAUUGAUCCAAGUAUCCGUUGAACACAUUCAUGUGGUCCAUGAGAUUCCCACCUUCAUCCAUCUUCAGCUUGUACAGCUUCCGCUUCAGAUGUAACUUGUUGGUCAAACUCUUAGCAAUAUAGAGUUUUUCCAACUUCUCCCAAAGUGCAGGCACAUAAUCUUCAUCCAUAACAUUAUUGAUAAUGUUAUCAGCUAUACAGUGUCGAAUCGUGCUAACACAACGCGCCUCCAGCUCCUCCCACUGGUCAUCUGUCAUUUCUUGAGGCUUCCCCAUCUUUUCCCUUCAAAGCUCUAGCCAAGCCUUGUUGAGUCAAUUCAUCCUUUACUCUCAUCUGCCAAAGAGUAAAACUGCCUUUCCCAUUAAACUUCUCAACUGAAAAUGACAUGUUUGUAGUCAUCAUGGUGAAUAACAAAUCUGGACCUUCGAUGAACCAAAGCUUCCAACAAAGCUCUGAUACCAAUUGUUGUACUUUAGCCUGUUAUCUCACCAACUUAUAAACUCACAGUUGAACAAUUUAAAAUACAAGAAAUAAAGACACCAAGAGAAUUACGAGGUUCGGCAAAAACCUGCCUACGUCCCCGGAGAGAUAUUGCUCUUCACUAUGAGAAUAACUAGUACAAAAUAUACAUGAGUUAAAUUGACAUAACCCAACCCCAAUCUCUUUUACACUCACAGAAUUUUUCCAAGAGCCUCACUCUCCCCAAGAGUUUCUCACUCUCACUCUAUUUUCUUUUCCCUUUGUGUUUUCCGGAUGCACUCCUACUUUUUUUUCACACUCGGAAAGCAUUCCUUUUAUAUCCAAUGCAAGCAAUUCCUUGCAUUUAAAUAAAAGCCAUCAUUUUCAUCCCCCAGCUAUUACGGCUUCCAUGAUGAUUAUGUCUCCAAAGUAAAAAGCAAACCUUGCUUUUCCUUUAUCAUUCCACACGCCACCUUCACGUGAAGAAUGCAAAUGAAAACAUAAAGUAGACAUUUUUCAUGCAUAGAAAGCAUACAUAUUUACGUGCAAACAAACACAAAGACAACACUUUGCUACAGCCAUUUCCUUGUAGCACAUAAAGCUAAACUAUCAAAAUUGUUGCCAACUCAAACUAUGAGCCAAUCACAACAUUUUUGAUUUUCUUGGAACCCCAAAUGGAAGACAUCUAAAAAUUUAGGGAAUUUAACGAAAAACUCUGAUAUUGUUCACUUUAACAAAAAAUCAUAUUUUUACACUAAAAAGUUAAUCCUAAUACUAUUCACUUUACCCUUUAUUUUGUACUUAUUGUUAAAACUCAAAGUUUUCAAGCUAUUUUCAUUGGUUUUCCUAAAAAUUUAAGGAUUUUUGUCCACCAAUUUUCAUUUCGUGAAGGAAUUUUCUGAUGAAAUUUUCUAUCAAGAUUUUCUCUCAUAAGUGUUUUUCUCUCUGGAUUUCUCUUUCUAUCAGCACUCCGUCUCGGGCUUCCUUUCGUACCAAGUUAUCUUGGACAGAACGGAAGAGUGGAAGAGAUGAUUCAAGGAUUGAAUUUUGCGUCUGCCGAUGCAGGAAUUAUAUUCACCAGCGGCUCAGAAUUGGUAGUGCAGCAUACUUCAUUUCCCCCCAAUCAUGCGUUUAUAUGUUUAAUAUAAUCUCUUCAUUUAAUAUGUUUAAUGUAGCAUUUAAGGCUUCUUAAUUCGAGUGUUGAUGUAGUUUUUUCCCGCAGGGUCAACAUGUUUCCUUCAGUCAGCAAGUUCAGCAGUUCACAGACACCUAUCAGCAGUUUAUAAUAAGUUUGGGGGAGCAAGCUACAAUUGAUCUCGUCUCAAAUUCUGUACUUGCCCUGGGGUUUCAAUCAGUUUUUAGCAUCCACAUUGAGGCAGGAAAUUAAUGUGAUCUUUCUAAUCACGCUCAAUUAGUUUCCCAAUUCGGAGUUUUACCGAUUACUCAGAGAUUUCUGUGUAUUUUGAUGGUGCAGAACUUGUACAACAUAAAUGUGAUGAAGGUGGUAGUAAUGGGGCUCGCACCGAUAGGCUGUGCUCCUCACUAUUUAUCUCAGUACGGAGUGAAGGAUGGACAAUGUAUUGAGGAGAUAAACAACAUGGUAAUGGAGUUCAACUUUGUGAUGAGGUAUAUGAUCGAGGAGCUCCGCGAAGAGCUUCCCGCUACCAACAGCAUCUUCUGCGAUGUGUUUGAAGGUUCCAUGGAUAUCAUAAAGAACUUUGUGUGUUACGGUGAGAGGUUUUCUAAACUUGUUAAUUCCUAUCAGUUACCGAAAAAAUUCUUAGCAGGGAGUCUGCAUACUAAUGAUGUGUGAAUUUUAUGAUCUUGUUCAGGUUUCAAUGAAACUACUGAUGCUUGCUGUGGGUUGGGGGAGCACAAGGGUUUUGUUAUGUGUUUAUCACCGGAUAUGGCAUGCAAUGAUGCUUCUAAUCAUGUCUGGUGGGAUCAGUUCCAUCCAACUGAUGCGGUCAAUGCCAUCCUAGCUCAUAAUGUGUGGAAUGGCCUGCACACGAAAAUGUGCUAUCCAAUCAACUUGAGGGAUAUGGUAGUAUCGAGCUCCUAUUGAUUCGAUGGAGAAGCUGCAGCAAUGGCCGUACUCUCUAUAAAACAAAGAUCAAACAGAGAAGCUCCUCGAAAUUUUUGGUACUAUACUUUCUGCAUCAACUGCUUACAACAUUAAAUCGUACAAUUCAGUAUACAAGUGACAUUACUAAAAGUGCAUUGUAUAUGUUUUUCCUUUUGGUAAUGCAAUGGGAUCCGAUUUAGAGGUAGAUGUUAUUGUCGUCUUCAUUGUCUGUUUUCAUCACGAAACUAGGAAAUGAUGUCGUGAUGUCCCUGCAUUGAAUGAAAAAUUCUAUCAGCUUCGACAUAGCGUUUUGAUGGUUGUAAGGUUUUACUUGAAUUGUAAUGAAACAGAAAAUUAGAUAUUGGCAAAGGUGGAAAUACUUGAGGUAUGGAAUUGUCAUGUUCUUCAAUAAGGACGGAUUGCCAUUCACGAGCUCAUUCCACUCUUCAAGAUCAAUCUUUCCGUCUCCCUUUAAGUCUGCUUCCUCAAAUGUCUAUAGAGUUUCAAACCAAAAGAUGAACUUAUUCGAUAACUGAUUACAUGCAGCCUUUUAAAUCUUGCAUGUCUUACCUUAUCAAUUAUCGCUUCAACAAUGUCAUCAGACAGGAUCAAGUCCGACUCUUUCAAAAGCGCGAGAACCAUUUCUUUCACCUUUCAUAACGUACCUCAAACGAUUAGUACUUUAUCUGUAUACAUCUACUAAUUCAAUUAAAUGCUUGGAAGUAAGAUUUGAUACGUCUUCUCAAGGUGUUUGCUUUCAUCAUUUCAUUAAACUUAAUCAUUUUGUUUACCUCUUCGCGUUCGAUGAAGCCUGUCUGCCAUAUAUCAUAUAGCUGAUAUGCAACUGCCAAUCAUAUGCCAACUUUUUUAUGCAAUCUUUCAUACUCAUUGCCACAUGCAUUCAAAUGAAAGAAAGAAAGAACAAAAUCUGCAGGGUUUCUUACAUGCAGCCUUCUCUGCUUGGGGUGCUUCCGGGUGGAACACGCUCAGACAUCGAACAAACUCUUCGAAUCCUAUCACCCCAUCACGUUUCGUGUCAAACAUAUGGAAGACCUAUUAGGUUAAGCAAUGCAAAUAUGAGUUGUCCCAAAAACAAACAGAGUGUUUUCACUGGCAGUAAAAGAUCAGCAUUCCGAAUUUAGAAAAACUGAGGCCACGAAGCUCACCCUAUCUGCAAACAGACUUUGUGUUUUGCUGUUCCUGAACAAUCCGAGCUGAAACUCUUCCUGGACACGACGCGUAAAAUGAUACUGAAUCACCGGAUGAAAAUCUUACAACGAGUAAAUUAACUUAUAGAAGAGAUGAAGCUUAUUACUUUGCUUAUAAGGCCAUCAUCAACUAUAGAACUGCUCAACUUCCUGAACAACUCGUACAAAGAUUUAACCUCAUUUACCUUAACUGCAAAAAACAAAGAAUGUAAAUGUACACAGUAAAUUCCAAUUAACAAGUCAGUUUAAUUAAAUGAAGAAGCUUAAUUACAGCAGGUUUGAGAAGCAAGAACUGCUGCUAAGUUUUCACAUUCAAGUCUCUGCUUCAUGCAAACACAGCCCAUUCUAAACGCUUUACGUGAUCGAAAAACUGUCUUCUGUUGGAAGAGAUUAGUACAGAAUGAUCUUAAAUGUUUUGAAAAAAAUCUAGAGUCGAGAGAGCCUGUGCAAACGCGGACUCUGCACGUUUCUCUGACGGUUCAUGAGCUUGCAACGUGAGAGCUUGUUGGGGAGGGUUUUGUAGUUGUACAAUACAAUGUGCCUUAGAAACGGGUCACAUUAUAUAACCCUAUAAGCGUCACACUUUGCCAGCAAGGAAGCAUGUUUACCCUCACUCUUUGUUUCUAUUGAUUUAUGGGAUGGAAAACUAUAUGGAGUUAGUGCCAGAAACAUGUUUCGAAUUACUCAAGUGACAAAUCUUGUUAACUUUUUUUUUUUUUUUUUUUUAUAGAGGUGGCACGUUACAACUCAUGUAUAAGUUCACAUAUGAAGUUUUCUCAAAACACUAGCAGAACUUACCGUUUGUGCUUAUGCUUCAAAGACUGAAUUCAAAUCUCAUAAACGACAGUUACUGGAUGACCAACGAAAGUCAAAUAUUUUGUAUGGCUUAUGUUGAAACAAGUGUUUGGCGAAUGGUAUGAUGACGACAAUAUAUGGGCAGAUGCUAAUGUGACAAUUAACGAAUAAUUCUGUAACAGUUACAUACGUUAUUGGCGUGGAUUUAUGGAAUAUUAUAUGAAAAAAGAAGGGUAAAUAUAGUGUGAGGGCUUAAAUAUCUGAGCUCACCAAUUAAAUUCUAACUUGUAACUUGUAAACAUUUACACAUGCAUUGAUUGAAGACCAACAAAGAAAUUCCCUAGCAAUGGUCAUUGUUUUCGGAUUUGGAAUUUUGGAAUCUGGUUCUUCUCUUUAACAAGUUCUCUUGGAAAAACAAUCCUUGUACAAUAAAUCUUAGGCUGAUUUUAAGAGACGUGGACGUAAACGUCGACAAUUAGUUUCUGCUGAUUGAUGUGAGUUUCUCGAUAAUUAAUCAUAUCAAAUUAGGUAUCCAGUUCGAGUGUUUUCCUAAAAACAUAAAAUGAUUGAUUGAUAAUAUCUUAGCGAAAUUUGGAAUCUGUUGCAAAGGCAGAGGUGUACCAAAUUCGGCUAUUUUCGACAAUGUUUUCACCUGACAAUUCCUGGCACCCUACAAGAACAAUGGGUUAACGAAGACAGAUCAAUUCCCUUUUGUUCUUGGGUACAAUUCAAUUCCAUUUAAAGAAUGGUUAGACCAAAUGGCCAGGGGGAAAAAUUCUCACUCCGGCUCUAAUCAAGCCUCGGCCAAGGAAGAUUGUUUAUUUGGCCGAAGAAGAAGUUAGGCCACCUAUUCGUUCGGCUGAGACAAAAAAUUUGGUUGGCUUAGAAGAACAUCUUCGAAGUUUAACUCAAAAGAUGAUUUGUCAGAGCAAUGUUUCAAUGACGAAUAGGGCCGAAACACGACCUCCGAUGCAAACACCAUGUCAAUCAAUAUGGUUAUUGGAGAUAAAGCUGAUGUGGAACAAUUCCAUUCAGCUAAACUGUUUGGGUUAAAAGCCAAAUAAUAGCUCAAUGCGUUUGGCGUUCAAGAAUAAAAAGUAUUUGACCAAGUCAAGAAUAUUUGAAGAUGAUUCUUUAUUCAGCCUGAAGCGAGAUUGGAUUGAAAACGUUGCCAUAAAAAGGUCUCGACUGGUGAAAAAGUAUCGUUGGCCUCCUCCUCAUCAUAACCUUUAUUUUCAUUUGCUCAAAAAAUAAUAACUUUUAUUUCCUUUACCAUUCGACUGCACAAACUGAUACUCAAGAAAAUAAGGGAGGCAAAACAGCAUGCUCACCAGUUAAAAAAAGAAAAGAAAUGACUUUAACGAAAAGUUUCCGGGUACUGUUCACUUUAACGAAAACUAUAUUUUUACACUAAAAAGUCAAUCAUGAUACUAUUUACUUUACCCUUUAUUUUGUCCUUAUCGUUAAAACUCAAAGUUUUCAAGUAUUUUUUUAUUAGUUUUCCUUAAAAAUAAAAAAAGAUGCGGUCGAACAAAAGAAAAGGGUUUUUUGUUUGGAGAUGCUGUCUUCAAGAAGAGAUAGUUGACUGCUAACCCAUGAGGUUUUACAUGAAGCAUGCCUACUUUUGGGCUUCGAAAUGUGAGUGAGCCUGUGUGUUAAAUUUUUGGGCCCCAACACACACAAGUCAUCGAGCCUCUCACACCUCUUUGAACUAAAUUAAAUUUUCUAUUGUGGGAACAUAAUUCUUAGUUUAUUUCUUUGACCACACCAAUUGGUGAUAUGUGACCAUACUGACAAAGUUAGUGCAACAUGGAGGAUGGAGGUAGGUAGAGGGCAUGAUGCAAGUCGUGAGAGAGUUUUUGUGUAUGAAAUCGGUCGGCGAACAUGACUCAUAGAUCGAACGUCAGUACUUAAGGAGAGGUUUUCCAAUGUACUCGAAACACAAGUUGAUAUGUGAUGUGUUAUAAUACAAGUGAAAAAACGCUUAUAUUAUGACACAUCGUGUACUGAUUUGUGUUCGUUCUGAGUACAUGAAAAAAUCUCUCAUACCCUUGCAUUCCACUCUCCUUAAUUUUGCCUCCUCUCAAAAGAAAGACUUUUACGGGACAGUUGGGCCGUUGAAUCAUGUGGGCCUAAGAGGUUAAUAAUGGAGAUAUUUUGAGACCAGAAAAUUGCUAUGAUUGGGCUUACAGACUUCAAUUUCUUUUGGGCCUUAUCAUCUCGUUGGGUGGUAAGCGGUAACAAACGCUUCCAAGUAUCCGAGUUGCGAACUCCCUGGCGUCGAUCAUGCCCCCAUCGCUCUCUCCUCCCAAAAAUACACAGACAUGGCGGUCUCUCUCGUUCACCGGUAACCUCUCCGCUCUCGUCGCUUCCAUUUCCUCCUUUCCAAUUUUGACCUCUGCGAUUCUAGUUAUGUUCGUCGUCAAACAGCUGAUCUCCAAAUUAUACAAAGUCGGAUUUUUAUUUCUUGUAAUUUUUCGUAAUUAUUUGUUUAAUUAGGUUUUAGUUAAGUUGCGAGCUCUUUGGUUGUACAAUGGAGGUGGAUUUAGUUGCAAGUGGCAUACAAGAGGAAGAAGCUUUUGGAGUUGAUGAGAAUGAUCACAAUGUAAGCUUCAAGUUCAAAUUUUUAAUUUUUUUAUUGAGCUGUUGCAAGUAGUUUUCAUGCAAUUGAAACUUUAUUCAUUUUUUUAAGAUUUUAGGCUCCUUUUCUGGAAAUUGGACGAAAUUUUCAUUUUUGGAAUUUCAAUUACUGAAUUUUCAUUGAGACAGUUGGAGCUAGUGUUAAUCGUGACCUGCUUGUUCGUGGGUUUAGAUACACAAGUUAAGUGUAGCUGCUUGGUUUCGUAUCUGUAAGAGAUUAACUUUUUUAUUUUACUGUCAUAAUGUGCAGGACAAUCCUAAUUUCGAGGGUGAAACAUGUGGGAUAUGCAUGAAUGCUAUUAUCGACAGGGGUGUUCUUGAUUGCUGCCAGCACUGGUAUGUGUUUUAGACUGUGGCUUUGUCUCUGUGGGUGAGAGAGAGAGAGAGAGAGAGAGAGAGAUUAGAAUUUUGUUUUAUGACAUGGGUUCAUCUUGUGGUUUUCCAGGUUCUGUUUCGCUUGCAUUGACAAUUGGGCUACCAUUACAAACCUCUGCCCGCUUUGCCAGAAUGAAUUCCAAAUGAUCACGUGUCUUCCAGUGAGUGGUGCAAAUAAAAAGUUUUCUUCUUUUUUCUUUGUUCUCAUCCUCGUUGUAUUGUUUUAGUAUUAUUUCCGUUAUGAACUUAUGCGUGAUAUGGAUAAUAGAAUUAUAUUAAUGUACAACUUUUUCAAAGCACAGUUGUUUUGAUUUCUAAACUGUCUGUUUUCGAUAGUGUUCUUUUUGUUGCAAUGGAAUUUUCUUUUUUUUUUGAAGUUUUCUUGAAUUAGUGAGUUGAUGCUGUUUCAAAGUGGUGCUAAAGCAUAUGAGUUUGAUUCAAUGUGAAGGUAUAUGAUACGAUUGGGAGCAACAAAGUGGACGAGGACUCAACUUAUAGGUACUUUGGUAAUUAAGGAUAAUACGUAUUUUGGUAAUUAAGGAUAAUGUGUUUAAGUAUACUGGUGAGGAUUUGUUCACAUUUUUAUGUGGCUUUGUCUCUUACACAUGGUUUUCUUUGGCUUACUACUCAUAUGUAGCGUUCAUAUGAAAUUUGAAUUCAAGGAUUGUGUUAUAGAAUUUGCAACCAAGACAUUUGUUUUGUGAACAAGCUUCAACAGAGACUAAUUUUUCAAUAUUCAUCUGUGCAGUGAUGAUGACUGGAGUAUUGAAGGGAAGAAUAACACACUCUCAUUUCCAUCGUACUACAUUGAUGAAAAUGUAAUUAUCCUUGCAUGUAUUCUUUUUAAACUAUUCUUGCAAUCCUCAUAAUUUCUUUCAAAGGUUUUUUUGUUAAACUUAGUGACCACUCACACCAUUGUUUCCAAGAAGAUUGUACGUCUUACACUUGUGGUUUUUUGUUCUAAAUUUGUUUUCCUUAAACGAUUCUACAUGUGAAUCCCAUGAGUCAGGACCCAUGAGUUAUGAAUUUUAGUUCGUUCCCCGGGUUUCUUACGAGCCAUGCAUCAAUAUCUUUUGAAGACCCAGUGCUUUGGUCUUACAACUGAGAUGUGGUGUUGUGCUUAUAAGCAUCAUUAGGGAAAUAUGUAGCCGUUCCCAUUACAUCAAGAUGCAUCCGAGAGGAAUUGAAUUAGUACUUUAUACAGGAUAUAUGCUUUCUUAUACAGGAGUGUUAUGUGCUCCAUGAAAAAUAAUCAAAUAACAAAAGCAAAAAAGACGAGUUUGGAGGUUAAUGUGGCUCUAAACUAAAGUAAUGGUUAAAACUAAGGCUAAUGCUAGGUGUUGAAAAAGACUUUUCAAGUCAUUCUCAUUUAGAUCCGAUUCAGAAACCCCCGUUGUUUCCUUUUCUUCCCAAGGCUGUAUGUCUUUAUUUUGUCUUCACGUUUACCUUUCAACAUUUGAUCAGAUGAUAUCACAUUCUUUUGUUACUUUAUCAUUUUCUAGGCAGUUUCCUGCUUGGAUGGAGAUGGCUGCAAAAUUCGAAGUGGAUCAGUGGCUAUUGAGGGAGAUUCCAAUCUCGAUACAUCAAUUGCUUGUGAUUCAUGUGACUUAUGGUAAAGAAUCAAGCAAUGUGAUACAUUAACUCUUUCCAAACUGAUAAAUGAUUUUGUAAAAAUAUUGUUUUCUAGUUGCUUUUUGACGUGACUUGAGACAGGUACCAUGCUUUCUGUGUGGGAUUUGAUCCGGAGGGCACAUCUGAGAGUACAUGGUUAUGCCCCAGGUAAGUUACAUGGUGAUCAUUCCUUUGUUCAUGGGUGUUGCACUGUUGCUCCUUUGCCAAGUCUAGUCCGUGGCUUUUCCUUAUAGCUUCAGUUUCAUUAAAUUAUCAAUAACAACUUGUCAUGCAUGUGCCAAGCGUUGGUGAUAAUUAAAAUCAAUGUUAAUGGAGAUAAUUAGGUUGUGGGUCCUUUCUAUGGGGGUUUUGUUUUUGUUGUGGAGAUCCCUAUCUUGAGUUGUCAACCAAUUAGAUUAAACAUUCAAAUCAGGUAAUGAUACCAUCUCAUUUGUGACUCUGGGACAAAGAGAAUCAUUUAUGUUUACAAUUGCUGCCAAGUAACAAUCCCUCUAGGCUUGGACUGAUUAGUGAGCUUUGGUUAUCUUUAUUUUUGUACUCAAGAUUUAGGCAUAAUGGAUUACAAAUUUCUCUUUUUUCCUAAAAUUCCUAGGUCUCCUCUUUUCAUCUAUCUUGUCAUACUGAUUUUUUUUUAUUAUGGUUUUUUUUUUUUUCAUUCUGUAGAUGUGUAGCUGAUGAAAUGACAAAAAAAUCAGAUGCAGAUUCAGUACAGAGGUCUAACAGACAGUAUGGUCCAGAAAAUGCUAAUGGUAAACCUGUAGCUGAGGAUAAUCUUUCUAGAAAGGUAUCUGUAUCUGUUGCUGAUAGUGGUGAGACGGCUAUUGUGGUCUCAAUGGUUGGAGAAAAUCAUUGGUUUGGAGGACCAAGUGAGAGUGUUUUGCCAACUGGUGAAGUUGGAAAGGACCCGGAAACUAAAGAAUUGGUAUUGUCUUCUGACAAUAUCCACAAAUUGAGAAAACCUUCCCCAGAAAAAACUAUUAACCAACCAGUUAUUGUAGCUCAGCAACUAAAACUGUCCCUUUCCAGCGAUACCUCUGGUUUACCUUCAAAUUCUUUAGCACAAAAGCCUAGUAGUUUUGAUGGCAUCAUGAAUCCUUCCGGAAGGUCCUUUGAUGAAUCACAGAGUGAUAACAAACAGUCUGACAGUGACUCCAAUAUGGGUCUUCAUCUUGGGUUGUCUGUGGGCACGUUUUUGUCUGGUAAUUUACAUAUUUUUCCUUUUUUGAGCCACCUCUAUUUCAUGUUAGGAUAGUAUAUAACUGAAGUUUUCAUAUGCUUAUUGUUGAAAUGUUUCUUGUUUAUGGGUCUUCAUACGUUUUUGUCUGGUGGUUUACAACGGUAACUCAUGUACCAUUUAUUUAUUGUUGAAAUGUUUCUAGCUGACACUCUCGUACCAAAAGAAGUGAUUGAGGAUGUGAAGCAGCAUGAUCCUUGGGAAGGAUAUUCACCAAUAGGUAUAUUGAGGCAUUAUUUACUGUGUUUAAUUUUUCUUGGAAGCGGAACCAAACAAAUUUAAAAAAUUAAAUUGUUUAUUCACCAGUCACUCAUGCGCUUUGCUUAAUUAUGGAAAUGUUUUCAGCUGAUGAGAUUGUACCGGAUACUAGUUUGGAUUCCCCUGGAUCGACUGCUGGUGGAAAGAGAAAGCGAAUUGAUUGCAGGUCACUUGUCAUUCUUAUAUGGUUUUCAGCAAUUAGUGCUAGCUAUGUAACCUCAGGUUUUGUUACUGCUAUCCUCAUUCAUAUUAUGCCACCAUCAGUUGUGUAAUUGUCGGCAUAGUAUUCCUAAAUUAUGUUGGAUGUAUUUUUUUUCUACUACCCUCAACUCUGCAUGUCACCAGUGUUUCUUACAUUAUGUUGGAUGUUUUGUGCUUCCAUUAUCCAUAGUAGUCCUUGAUUCAUUCAGCUGGCAUGUUUCUCGUGUAUUAGAUUUUGGGUUCAUAGGGCUUAUCUCUUUUUCUUGUCUUUUGGUUUCCAGUAAGGUGGUAACUAUAUUUCUAAGUCCAUUGUAUUAUGGUAGUUUGUAGAUUAAACCAAACCAGCAUGUUUUUGUUGCAAUUAUUGUCUUAUAACUUAUUCACAUUAAAAAUACGUGCAUGCAACACAAAUUUUCAAUUUCUGCUUCCUCUUUAUAGAUUUCCUCAAAAGCUCUCUUUUAUUUCCCUUUGAUGCAAUACAAGCUCAUCACCAAAAUAUCAAAAAGCAUUAAGAAAAUGUUGGCAGAAGUCAAUUCAACUGGUUGAACAAAAAUGCAGGUUAAUUUAAGUGGUUUCACUAUCCUCACACUUGUAUCUUAGCCUUCUUCUAUUUUUAUUGUCAUUUUCUUGAAAAAAUUGUAUUUCAAAUGUCGAUUUGCUUGCUUCACAUGCUUCGUAGCAAGUAGAACAAGGGUUCUGACUUUAUUUUACCUUGACUUUUUGAAAUAAUAGUGAUGACGUCCAUAUUGAUUAUGGUGGAGAUACUGACCCUGAGAUUGAGACCAAAGUUUCUGUUAAGAAACUCAGAAAGGAUGAGAAAACACAACCCACAGCUUCCAAUGACCAAGCCAGAAUCUGUUCCGGAUGACUCUCAAAACUGUUCUAUACUGACUGUAGCUCCUAAAGAUAGUACGUUAUCAUCUCCUCCUGUUGAGGGGAACACCACUUCCGAUAUAAUGAGCAUUGUUCGAACUACGAAGCGUAAAUCUUCUAAGGGGCUUGCAAGCUCUAAUCCUGCAGAUAAAUUAUCACAAGAACAAGAAACUAUGCCUGGUUUGAGAGUUAAAAAGAUCAUGAGGAGAGCCGCUGAGGACAAGGACUCGUCCGUGACAGUUCAGACACUGAGAAAAGAAAUAAGAGAAGCUGUUGGUAAAAUUUCUUCAAAAGGUAUUGGCGAAAACCUUUUCAAUCCAAAGCUUCUUCAUGCCUUUAGGACUGCUGUAGCAGGACCUCAAACUGAACCUGUUAAGAAGGUACCAGAUUUGGCACUGAAGGCAAGGAAGACAAUGUUGCAGAAGGGAAAAGUACGUGAGAAUCUAACAAAGAAGAUUUAUGGGACAUCAAAUGGAAGAAGAAAACAUGCAUGGGACCGGGACUGGCAAAUUGAAUUUUGGAAGCACCGCUGCAUAGGAACUACAGAGCCUGAAAAGAUUGAGACUUUGAAGUCCGUCCUUAACCUUCUGAAAGAGAGGUCAGAGCGUGCAGAUACAGAGCAGGAGUCCGAUAAGCAGUCCACAAAUCCAAUUCUUUCCAGGUUGUAUUUAGCAGAUGUAUCUGUACUCCCAAGAAAAGAUGAUAUUAAGCCUCUCUUAGCUCUUAAAACUGCUGGUAAUUCAGAGCAGAAUGGUAAACAGCUUACCUUGAAGGACAAUUGUUCCAAGUCAUCUCUUAAUGAUUCUACAUCAAAUUCCACAGAAACGAAUAAGGUUUCAUCAAAAGGCGGGGUUCCUUCAUUGGAGAAAUAUGGGAAUAAGAAUAAUGUUCCGAGCUCAGAGAAUGGUGCUGCACCUAACAAAGUACAUCAAGACAAACGCUUGGAAGGGUCCUUGGUUUCUUCAUCUGGUGCUUCCAAAUCCAAAACCACGAGUGAAGUGGUUGAUAAAACUGGAGAUGUAAAAACUGACAAAAGAAAAUGGGCUCUAGAGAUUCUUGCCAGGAAAAGUGGUGCAGGCACGAAGACGACAAAUGAAAAACAGGAAGACAACACACUCAAAGCAAAUUACCCUUUGCUAGUAUGUAACAGCUUUACUUUUAUAACCAUUCCUUUAUGCUGUUUGGCUCUGCAGAUUAUAUAAUAUAAUUUUGUGAUUGCUUUGAGCAGGCUCAAUUGCCGAUAGACAUGAGACCAGUUUUGGCAUCCAGUCGUCAUAAUAAGAUCCCCUUAUCAGUAAGGCAGGUAAAAAUUUCUGUGUAUGCUUCUAUUAACCAAGAUUGGUGCGUGUUAGAUAUUGAUAUAAUUAAAUCUCUUGUUAGGUUACUCUUUUAAGUUCUAUUUUGUAAUAAAAGGUUGGGAACACGAAAAGGGUGUUCUGCCUUCUGUUGGUCUUUGAAUGGAAAUAUUACAAAGGGGGAAAUCAUUUUGCCUUUCUUAUGAGGAAAUGGUAGAAAUGAACCUCUUUGGUGUAUUUAACACAAUACGUUGAAAUGAAGGAAAGCUUAUUUAUUGAUAUCCCCGAUAAGCUACAAAUAUGUACAUAUACAUGAGUCAAAAUAAACACACAAGAGGGAGCCUUCACAAAGGUUGCUUAGGAGAAGUCUCAGCAGUCGGUAGAGCCCCAGAAAGAGAAGGCACCGGAGGGGGAUCAUUUGGAGCCUCAGUACUGGACAGAACCCUAGAAGGAGGAGGCAUCAGAGGUUGAUCAUUCGGAGCUUCAUUACGCGGUACAGCCCCAGAAGACGAAGGCAAUAAAUGCCUUUGGAACAAACCCACAAAUCUCUGAUGAUCAAGUAAAACCUGACCAUCAGUUUCCUUCAUCUGGUCAAGCUUCCUCUUCAUGUUUGUAGCAUAGUCAUGUGCGAGCCGGUGCAACUGUUUAUUCUCAUGCUUGAGCCCCCUAAUCUCCUGUUUGAGACUCAUCACUUCAGCCGCCAAUGAUUCAACUUGGCGGGUUCGAGCAAAUAGGCGUUGGGCCAUAUUAGACACAGAACCUGCACACUGAACACUGAGAGCCAGCGAAUCCUUAACAGCUAACUCAUCAGACCGUUUGGAAAGUAGUCUGUUAUCUUUGGGAGUGAGAAGGUUCCUGGCCACCACCGCAGCGGUCAUAUCAUUCUUCAUCACGGAAUCCCCAACGGUAAGAGGACCAGUAGGGGAGACGAAGGAUGGGCGCCAUAUGUUGUCUGGAGAAGGCGGGGCUGCCUCUUCAACAAGGUUUAAGUCAAAACGACGGUCGGAGGGGCCAGACAUUUUCAAAGGUGUUGAAGAGAGAAGAGGUCGGACAAAUCAAGAUCUUAGAAGUGCAAGAAUGAAGCUUCUACUGGUGGAGAUUCAAGUGUGCUUUGGAACUUAAUGCCAGCCCCUAUAAAAAUCUGCACUCGACGGAGCUUCAGAAAUCGAAGAGGCGCCUGCUCAGAAAUCGAAGAGGCGUUUGCUUUCUCAAAAGCUGGGCUGCUUAGAGAUCACGAGGGUUGAUCUCAGAAAUCGAAGAGGCGUUUGCUUUCUCAAAAGUUGGGCUGCUCAAAGACCACGAAGGCCGAUCUCAGAAAUCGAAGAGGCGCUCGCUUUUCUCAAAAGCUGGGCUCCCCAGAGACCACGAGGGCUGAUCUCAGAAAUCGAAGAGGCACCUACUUUUCCAGCCUUGUCAGCACCUGUCACACGCACACUCAGCUUUGCGGAAAUUAUGGGCAUUUUGUCGAAGACUUCUGGGGAAGUAGAAAACACAUGAAUCUUACUGUUCAAUCACCCACUUCCCACACGCAACAAUAGCUCAUGGAUACCACAGAUAACUUUGCCAAAGUUCUCUGCCAAAGUUGAGCACGUGAAGCUUGCAGCUCCCACUACAUCGCUCUGACCAAGAAGGGUAAAAGAAUAGCAAAGAAACAACACUAACAAAGUUUAGACCCAUAAAUUUUGAAGGUCUAGCUACCAUAUUAUUACCCACAAGGGUAAAGGAACAGUACCACUGCUGGAUAAUUGGAAAGUCCCUGUGUGUCAACCUCUGUGCUUCGUGGCAAGGUAGACUAGCAAACAUGCCCAACCUUUACUCACAUUCGAGAAAACACUCCCAAUAAGAUUGCUUGCUCCAAAAUCGAAGAGGCACCGUCCUCCAAAUCUCGAGAGCCAGACUCCCAACAUGACUACUUUCUUGAAAAUCGAAGAGAGGGUAAAGGAACAGUACCAUUGCUGGAUAAUUGGAAAGUCCCUGUGUGUCAACCUCUGUGCUUCGUGGCAAGGUAGACUAGCAAACAUGCCCAACCUUUACUCACAUUCGAAAAAACACUCCCAACAAGAUUGCUUGCUCCAAAAUCGAAGAGGCACCGUCCUCCGAAUCUCGAGAGCCAGACUCCCAACAUGAUUACUUUCUCAAAAAUCGAAGAGACACUGCUCCCCGAAUCUUCGAGAGCCAGACCCCCAGCAUGAUUGCUUUCUCAAAAAUCGAUGAGGCAUCGUUCUCCGAAUCAAUCGAAGAGGCGCUCGCUUUCUCAAAAGCUGGGCUGCUCAGAGACCACGAGGGCCGAUCUCAGAAAUCGAAGAGGCACCUACUUUUCUAGCCUUGUCAGCACCCGUCACACGCAACAAUAGCUCAUGGGUACCACAGAUAACUUUGCCAAAGUUCUCUGCCAAAGUUGAGCACGUGAAGCUUGCAGCUCCCACUACAUCGCUCUGACCAAGAAAGGUAAAAGAAUAGCAAAGAAACAGCACUAACAAAGUUUAGACACAUAAAUUUUGAAGGUCUAGCUACCAUAUUAUUACCCAUAAGGGUAAAGGAACAGUACCACUGCUGGAUAAUUGGAAAGUCCCUGUGUGUCAACCUCUGUGCUUCGUGGCAAGGUAGACUAGCAAACAUGCCCAACCUUUACUCACAUUCGAGAAAAACACUCCCAACAAGAUUGCUUGCUCCAAAAUCGAAGAGGCACCGUCCUCCGAAUCUCGAGAGCCAGACUCCCAACAUGACUACUUUCUCAAAAGCGAAGAGAGGGUAAAGGAACAGUACCAUUGCUGGAUAAUUGGAAAGUCCCUGUGUGUCAACCUUUGUGCUUCGUGGCAAGGUAGACUAGCAAACAUGCCCAACCUGUACUCACAUUUGAGACAACACUCCCAACAGGAUUGCUUGCUCCAAAAUCGAAGAGGCACCGCCCUCCGAAUCUCAAGAGCCAGACUCCCAACAUGAUUACUUCCUCAAAAAUCGAAGAGACACUGCUCUCCGAAUCUCGAGAGCCAGACCCCCAGCAUGAUUGCUUUCUCAAAAAUCGAAAAGGCAUCGUUUUCCGAAUCUCGAGAGCCAGAUACCACAGACCACUUUUUCAAAGUGCUCUGACAGAGUUAAAACAUGUGAAACUGGCAGCUCCCACUACCGUGCUAUGACCAAGCAGGGUAAAGGAAUAGCAUUACUACUUGUUGUUAGGGAGACUCCUAUAUAUGUCGACCUCCAUCCCCAACGGACAGGCAGACCUGCAAAAAUGCUCAACCCUUCAUCAUAUCUGAGAGGGCACUCCCAACGAAGCCUUUCGAAAUAUUCAGCUUUCUUUCCCCCCGAUAAUACCUCUGCAAACAAGCUAUACUAGAGCAAGAAUAUCUCAUAUCAUCAGGGUUAAAAGCAAGAGUAUCCCAUAUCAUGCUUUUUCCCUGUCUUUCCCUUUGGCCUUGUUUUUACCUGCAAGACAAGGAGAAAGAGCAAUCAGUCAGCACUUGGAAUCAGGCUUCUAGCCAGGAACUGACUGCCUGGAACCCCUUACCUGAUUACUUACCUGGCAUUGCUCUCGAGUACUCAUCUUCAACAUGUUAUGUUUCCAGGGAAGAUUCCGCAUCUGCUUGAGGAACAGAUAGGGCAAGUGCGAAGGAUACAAGGAAGCAUGUGGAGACAAGCGUAACAGCACACGUGCCGAUACAUCCAUUACUCUGUCAAAAGCAAAAGUAUCCCAUAUCAGCAGGGUGGAACGUACUCUAGAUUUGAUGGACUUGUUUUGACCCUCAAAUUCUUCAGUCGGCCUUAUACUCUGGAGGAAACCAGAAAACCCUCCAGCUCAGUUCAAGAAUAAGCCUGUGGAAAGUUACUUCUUCAAAAGCAAAAGUAUCUCAUAUCAUCUCUUCUCAUUUUUUCUUCUCUUUAUCCUUCAUGCUGCUGCAAGAUGGGGAGAAGGUGAACAAUCAGUCGGAGCUCUGAUUGCUUACCUUGUCUGUCACCUCUUUCAGCAGACCCCCUAGCUCGGCGACUUGGGGGACUCCUCCUACAUGGUUUGUAUCGCGCUUGACCAAGCCUGAAACUACAAGUAAGCUUCAAGUGAAAUUGAUAUACAUUACCUUGUGCAUCUCCACCAGUUAAAGAUACCACCCCUGGAUGGAGGAAGAGUACUUCCAGAGAAGAUGCCACAUCUACCUAUGAGACAGAUAAGGCAAGUCAAGACGACACCACACUCCGAUACUUAGAAGUUUCGUGAUUACGAGAUCAUUCUCCCACAAUAUUUCCUAAUGUCAUUUGUACUAAAUCAUUCACUUGUACUCACUAAAGGAGAGCUUGAACCUAUGUACUUGUGUAAACCCUUCACCAUUAAUGAGAAUUCUUCUAUUCCGUGGACGUAGCCAAUCUGGGUGAACCACGUACAUCUUGUGUUUGCUUUCCUAUCUCUAUCCAUUUAUAUACUUAUCCACACUAAUGACCGGAGCAAUCUAGCGAAGAUCACAAAAAAGCAACCGUUUUCGCUACCUAGGAUCUAUCUUGCAAGAGAACGGAGAAUUAGAUGGAGAUCUCAACCAUAGAAUACGAGCUGGAUGGAUGAAGUGUAAGAGUGCAUCCGGCGUGUUGUGUGACCAUCGUAGGCCACUGAAGCUCAAGAGAAAAUUUUAUAGGACGGCAAUAAGGCCAGCGAUGUUGUAUGGCACAGAAUGUUGGGCGGUGAAGCAUCAACACGUACACAAAAUGGGUGUAGCGGAGAUGAGGAUGCUUCGUGGGAUGUGUGGGCACACGAGAAAGGAUAAGAUUGGGAAUGAGGAUAUCCGAGGUAAAGUAGGAGUAGCCGAAAUUGUAGGAAAGAUGAGAGAAAAUCGGCUCCGGUGAUUUGGACAUGUGCAAAGAAGGCCGACUGACGCUCCGGUUCGAAGAUGUGACUACGGGACAGAGGUUCAGGGCCGAAGGGGUAGAGGAAGACCUAGGAAAACUUUGGAAGAGACUCUAAGAAAAGACUUAGAGUACUUGGAUCUAACGGAGGACAUGACACAAAACCGAGCGCAAUGGCGUUCUAGGAUUCAUAUAGCCGACCCCACUUAGUGGGAAAAGGCUUUGUUGUUGUUGUUGUUGUUGUUGCAUGACGAAUGAUUCAUUAAACAAACAUAUGCUAGGCAUACAACUGCUUCCACCGCCAUCUCAAUCAAACCACCACGAAGUCAUUACCAUCGUUUCAACUGUUUACUACCACCACUCCGAUGAGAGCAUUAACAUGAGUUUCUUAGGAUAUGUUGGUACGAAUUAAAAAAAAAUCUUUUUAGCCCCAUUUAUUUGUUUAAUUUCAUGAAACUGGAGGCUAAUUGGUGGUUUGGACUUGUUAAUCAUCUGCCUUGCAGACACAGCUGUAUCGUCUGACUGAGCACUUCUUGAAGAAAGCAAAUCUGCCGGUGAUCCGUAGAACUGCGGAUACGGAGUUAGCUGUUGCAGAUGCAAUUAAUAUAGAAAAGGGGGUUGCUGAUAGGUCAAGCAGCAAGCUAGUGUAUACGAAUCUAUGUUCCCAAGAGAUAUUGCGUCGUUCAGAAAAUAGGAAAUCUAGUGCGGGUGCAGCCCCAAUACAUAGUUCAUCCCCAUCUUCAUUCCCCCCUGAUAGAGCAGAACAAGCUGCCAAUGAACUUUCAACUGAUCCUGUAAUUGAAGCAGCACUGAGAAAUGCUGGUCUUCUGUCCGAUUCUCCUCCAAAUAGUCCACAUCCCGAUAUGGAAGUUCCUGCUGAAGAAGAUGGCCCCGCAUCAGAUAUCAGAGAGGAAGGGCCUCAUAAUAUCUUUGAAAUAGAUUUUCAGCCUGAUCUGGACAUAUAUGGUGAUUUUGAGUAUAAUUUGGAAGAUGAAGACUACAUUGGUGCCGCUGCUGCAAAAGUAACUAAUCCACAACCAGACGAAGGGGCACCGAAAUUGAAAUUGGUGUUCUCUACACUUCAGCCUGAAAGAUCUAAUCAUAAUCUAGAUCUUGAGAAGCCUGAGACAACGGUUGCAGUGCGAAAAGAUUCUUCCAGCAUGCUCGAGAAUCAUACUUGUUCAGGUUUGAAAAACUCCAUCACGGAGGGUGGCACUGAUGAGACUAGCGUUCCCUUGGAAUCCUUAUUCGGCAAAGAAGGUGAAGAGCUCACUGUUGCAGAAUGUGAAGAAUUAUAUGGACCUGAUAAAGAACCGCUGAUAAAAAAAUUUCCAGAAGCAUCAGAAAAGCUAUCUGGAUUGAUUGACGAAGCUUUGGUUAAAGAUAAAGGUUCUGAAGAGAAUGAAGAUUGUGUGCCAAAGCCAAACCAAGCAGUAAAAACAAAUGAAUUGGGUAAGGGGAACAAUGCGCAAAAUAUGCUUGUUGCCAGUGUUGGUUGCAACUCCUCUGCUGGAGAAGAUUCAGUGAACCAUCCACAGCCAGGUGGAAAUGUUGAAACUAAGGAGAAGAAAUCGAGUACGGAGUGCAACAAUCAGUCUAAUAGCAACAGUACCGUGUCUAAGAAGGUUUUUCCCAGCCAUUUUUCCCUAAAACUUAUACUUACCUUUAGAUUGCUCCUUUGGUUCUGUAAAUCCGCAUGAAAGGAUUUUUCUGUUCAUGAACUUAACGUAAUUGAAUUAGGAGAGUUUCUUCUCCAAUACGUCAUCUUGGCUGACUUGUUUCCAAUCCUUCACAGGUGGAAGCCUACAUUAAGGAGCACAUCAGACCACUAUGCAAGAGUGGCGUUAUUACGGCUGAACAGUAUAAGUGGGCUGUGGCGAAAACAACUGAUAAGGUUAUGAAAUACCAUUCUAAAUCCAAGAAUGCAAAUUUCCUGAUCAAGGAAGGUGAGAAGGUGAAGAAACUCGCCGAGCAGUAUGUUGAGACAGCCCGACAGAAGGAAGAAGCCGAUCCUCUGUAACGAAAGUCAUUUUCAGCUGCUCUCAAAUUAUUCACUUAUUCAGAACCUCCACUGAUCUGUAAAUAGUUUCGAGAGACCUUAUAUAAGCACCCCGAACCCCAAACAUUGUAUAAGUUGAUGAAGGAACCUGUGUCCGGGCGCUUAUGAUAUGUUCAGGUGAGUUUUCCUGCGUGAGCUUUUGGAUCAUAUACAAGAAUUGCAUCAGUUAUUAAAUGACUCUUGAAGCAAAUAAGAAUCAUGUCGUUAAACAUGGUAUUACGGCCCUCUCCACUUGUGUUCUCAGUUCGACUUGCUUGGUUGGGGGUUUAUUAUCAUUGUUGGUUCAUUGUGUGAAUCAAUCUAGAUUCUCAACCCGUUAAAUAAAAUAUCGUUGUAUAAAAGAAUAAAAGAUAAUUUAGCCAAAAAUCAAUAAAAACUUUACUAUUUAAAUAUAUCGAUGACAUCUUUUUGGUUUGGACUUAAUCAAUGAUAUAUUUUUAUUAAUUUGGCCUAGAUCAAUGAUAAAUGUCACAUGGGUUUUAAGUGAUUAUAAAUACUUAGAAUUUGACUUUUCUAUCCGUAUUUCGUUAUCUCUAUUUAUAUUUUAACACACGUUAUGUCCAACCAACACUUAACUAUCUCCUAUUCACUAUCUCUUCUCUCUCUCUCUCUCUCUCUUUCUCUCUCUCUCUCUCUCUCACAGUUUUUGAAUUCAUAGAACAUGAAACAAACACUUCAACGCAGUGUCGGAAUCACAUAAACUUUCUGAUAUCAAAGUACAAUCACAAAACAUGAAACAGACACUGCAACACAAUGUUUGAAUCCACAUAAACUAUUUGAAUAUCAAUACACAAUCACAGAAUAUGAAACAAACACUGUAACGCAAUGUCUGAAUCUACAUAACAGGAAAUAGACAUUGCAACGCAGUGUUGGAAUCCCAUAAACUUUUGAAUAUCAAAGUACAAUCGCAGAACAAGAAACAAACGCUGCAACGUAGUGUCUGAAUCCAUGAAAACUAUUUGAAUAUCAAUGCACAAGCACAGAACAUGAGACAAACACUGCAACUAAGUGUCUGAAUCCACAGAACAAGAAAUACAGACAUUGCGUUACAAUUGGUGGCUGUCACGUGCUCUUUUGAAUAUCAAUGUACAAUCAUAGAACAGGAAACAGGCACUGCAACACAGUGUCUGAAUUCACAAAACAUUUUGAAUAUCAAUAUACAAUCGUAGAACAGAAAACAGACACUGCGUUGCAAUGUCUGAAUCCACAAAACUUAGAAUUUGAAAUGGAGUACAUAACCUAAGAAAAAUAGCACGAUGAGUGGGGAUUAGACUAAACAAUAUAACAACCAUGAAUAAACAUACAUAAAGCCAACACAUAUAUCCAAACAGACUAAAUCUGUGAUAUGCCCAAACCAAUUUUAACAUCCAAAAUUCAAAACCUAAAAAAGUGUAGUGUGCAAAAUUACAGCAAAUUUCUCAAAAACACAACUCAAAUAACCUAAAACAUAAGAAUUGAAGAACAAGAAGAAAAUAGGAAGAAAAAAAAAAAACUUGAUCGUGAUUUCUUUGGUGCAAGUGCAAAUCAUUCGUCGGAAUCAGGGCUAAAGUAUGAAAUUGUUUUGAGCGGCACAAAGUUAACAAGGCAGGUGUUGUGAGGCCAAAAAAUGGAGGUUGAAGGUGGUGGGAGGCGAUGGAGGUUGAAGUCUGAGAGCGUUUUAUGGUUGCAAGGCGAUGGAGGUUGAAGUCUGAGAGUGUUUUGCACGGUUUACAAUGAGGGAGUUGGAGAAGUUAGGUGUUUUAAAUGACAAUGGCAUGAAUUGUAAUUUUUAUUUAAUUGAGGUGUUUUAAUGAGCUCGAGUUCCCUCCGACUGUGGGGGUUUUUCUCUUUGGUUGUGAGAGAGUUGUAACAUCUAGCUUCAAUUUCUCACCCUCUCUUCCGUCUUUUCCACGCCUUUCAACAGUUUUUCCCUCCGAUCACCGUUUUGAGAGUCGAUGGCUGGGGAUUUUUCUUUUUACUUUCUACUUUCCUUUCUCAUUCUAGUCCCCAUCUUGCAGCCACUUUCCCUCUGUUGAGGGUACUGCACAAAUUCAAAAUAAAGAACGAAGUUACCAAGAAAACAAAUAUUGUAGACUUCACUUUGGGUUGAAUCGCGAACAAUGUCGCUUUCUUUAAGACGUUUUGCGGCUCUGCCCAAGUUGUGCAAGCAGUCUAAAAUACUACAACGUCCCCAGGAUAAAACAGCCCAGAAAACACCUCUGUAUAGACCUUCCUUUACACUGAGGAAGAUCCAAAGCUUUCACCACUCUUAUAAUCAAAGUUCUUCUAGUUCUUCUUAGUUUUUCUCAAUGUGUUUUUACGUAGCAGAAAACCCUAGUAUUUAUACACAAUUGCAAGACUUUAACGUUGAAGUAGUUGAGCUGAUCAUGCCCAAGAAAUCAGGCCAUAAAACAAGGGAGUAAAACCACUUUGUUGAGAAAGAAUAGGUCUCCCAAAUCAAAAUAAAAUCUUGCAGUUUAAGAAAAGAUUUUUUCCAUAAAAAUAGGAAACCAAAGUUAAUCAGAAAACUAACUCUAAUAAUUUUAAAUAAACAUAAAAUCCCAACAAUCCCCCACUUGGUUAUUUAAAGUUUGCUCUUUGAGUAUAUCAUCAUAGAGUUGUGCAUAAAUAAUGGUGUUAUGUAACUUGAACCAUUACAUAGUGCCUAAGCUUCAGACCAACAUGACUAACACUUAGUUUUGAACUCAAACUCUGACAACAAAGCACACACAGCCCUUCUUGGGUGAAGCUCAAAGUCAGCACGAUCCGGCCAUGUGCUUGUAUCCCAGUUUAGUGACGGUGCUAAAAGUUAGCCCCACAACUUCAUAGUAGGCGACCUCACCUUCACUGUCACAAAGGUGAAACUAUCACAGAUACUCCUGUAACUAGGUAUCUCACUCCACUAAAGUAAAGUUUUCAUUAAGAGUAUUAUAACUCAUCAUUCACAUAUGUUACAGGAUUGCAUGUAUCCAUUCAAGUUUAACGACAACUUCUGCAAGAAGUAUAGCAUGAAUCCAUAUCACUCCAUGACUUGUUAUUAUCUAUUGAACCAAUUUCUUGGGAUCUCCAGUCCAAAGGUUAGGUUACCAUCACAAGUGACUCAACUUAACAAAGGGCUUUAACUCCAUUCCAUUAGAGGUUUUCCAAACUUUCUCUCGUGCUAAUCCUUUCGUCAAAGGAUCAGCUAGGUUAUCUUUAUACCUUACAUGGUAUAAUUUGACAGUUCCUGUGGAAAGAAACCCUCUCAUUGUGCUAUGCUUUCGACGAAUUUGUCGGCUCUUCCCAUUAUAAUAUCGAUUUUCAACCUUAGCAAUUGCUGCUGUGUUAUCACAGUGAAUAAGCACUGCAGGCAAUGGUUUUUCCCAUAAAGGACUAUCAUACAGGAGAUCUCUCAAUCAUCAUGCUUCUUCACUAGCCGUUGCUAGUGCUAUUAUUUCAGAUUCCAUCGUUGAGCAAGAAUAGUCUGUUUCUUAGACUUCCACGAGACUGCAGUCCCAGCUAUGUUAAAAACAUAGCCACUGGUGGCUUUAGAGUCUUCUGAAAAUAUAUUCCAAUCAACGUCGCUAUAUCUUUCAAGGACAUCGGGUAACUUUUCAUAGCAUAGACCAAAGUUGAUGGUCCUCUUAAGGUAUCUCAUUACCCUUUUCAGUAGCACGCCAAUGCUCAACAUUUGGAUUGCUCGUGAACCUGCACAAAACCCCCACUGCAUAAGCUAUGUUUGGCCUAAUGCAAUCAGUUGCAUACCUUAGACAUCCGAUGAUGCUUGCAUAUUUAGUUUGUCUAACACUGUCUCCAGUGUUCUUGAAUAAUUUCACACUAGGAUCAUAUGGCGUACAUGCAGGCUUACAAUCAUAAUAACCAAUUUUUUUUCAGAAUUUUCUCUAUGUAAUGUGAUUGAUCUAAGGAAAACCCUUUCUCGGUUCUACUAACCUUAAUACCAAGAAUAACACUCGCAUUUCCUAAGUCCUUCAUGUCAAAAUUAACACAUAUAGUGACUUUACUUCAUUUACCACAUGAAUAUUAGAGCCAAAGAUAAGCAUGUCAUCAACAUAUAAGCAAAUAAUAGUGCACAAAUUAUUCACAGAUUUGACAUACAUGCAUUUAUCACUUUCAUUUAUUUUGAAACCAUUAUCUAUGAGUAAACUAUCAAAUUUAGCAUGCCCUUGUUUUGGUGCUUGUUUUAAGCCAUAAAGUGACUUGUCUAAUUUACAAACCUUAUGUUCUUGGCCAGUUAUUAUAAAGCCAUCAAGUUGGUCCAUAUAAAUCUCUUCCUCUAGUUCUCCAUUCAAAAAAGCAGUUUAACGUCCAUUUGAUGCACAACUAAAUCAAAUAACGAGGCUAAUACAAACAAAACACGUAUGGAAGUGAUUCUAGUGACUGGUGAGAAUGUAUCUAACAAAUCAACAUUCUCUCGUUGUCUAAACCCUUUAGCUACUAACCUGGCUUUAAACUUGUCCACAGUUCCAUCAGCUUUUAGCUUCCUCUUCAGUAUCCAUUUGCACCCAAUGGCCUUGCAUCUAGGGGGAAGAUCAACCAAAUGUCAGGUUCUAUUGGAUUCUAGUAAAUCCAUUUCAUCGUUUAUGGCUUCUUGCCAUGAAUCUGCAUCCAAAAAGAUCAAGGCUUCUUAGAGUGUUUUAGGAUCUUCUUCCAGUGUGUAAGUUUGGAAGUCAGUCCCAAAAUCCUUGGCCACUUUGGGCCUCUUACUCAUUCUUGGUUCAAAACUAGUUUCAACCGAAUCACUGAGGGCAUGGUUGCUCAUUCCAGACAAUCCCAAAUUAGUGGAGGUUGAACCCCCACUAUUGCUUAGCUUAAAAGGAAAUUUAUUUUCAAAAAAGUCAGCAUCAUUUGAUUCAAUAAUAACAUGACUUUUCAAGUCAUAGAACCUAUGUGCUUUACUAUUGGAUGCAUAGCCAAUAAAAACACAUUCAAAUGCCCUACUUGCUAACUUUGAUCUCUUAAUAUCAGGUUUUCAUACAUAUUCUAAACAGCCCCAUGUUCUUAAGUAGGACACAUUAGGUUUCUUAUUCUUCCAAAUUUCAUAUGGUGGAGUUUUUGUUUUUGAAGAAGGAACUCUAUUGAGAACAAAACAUACUGUUAAUAAGAUUUCCCCUCACCAAUAUGAGGCACUACCAUUAUUAAGAUGCACAUCCACAGUUAAUUCACAAAGUGUCCUAUUUUUCCUUUCAGCCUUACCAUUCAUCUGUGGAGUAUAAGUUGCAGUUGUUUCAUGUAUUAUACCUAGGUUUUUACAAUGCUCAUUGAAAUCCCUAGAUUCAUAUUCAAGUCCUCUAUCACUACGUAACCUUUUUAUUCUUUUAUUGAACUGAUUCUCUAUUUUAGCUAAGUACAUUUUGAACAUGUCAAAAGCUUCACUCUUAUUUUCAUCAGAUAAACAUAACAAUAAUUAGACUGAUCAUUUAUAAAGGUAAUGAAAUACCGUUUCCCAUUUCUAGUAAUUACCCCAUCAAAUUCACAUAUAUCAGUGUGGAUUAGUUUAAGUAACUCAAUUUCUCUAAUUAUUGAUUUGUGUAAAGCUCUAGUGACCUUAGCUUGACUACAAAAUUCACACUUUUCAAAAUUGCUUAGUGUGAGUUCAGGAAGUAGUCCUAGGUUACUCAUUUGUUUCACUAAUUUCGUAUUCACAUGACAAAGUCUAGUAUGCCAAACAUUAAAGGAACUAAACAUAUAGGCAGAAGUAACAUUUUUAUUCAUAACAUCAACAUUUAACUUAAACAUGCCAUCAGUAGCAUACCCCUUUUCCCACAAAGACACCAUUCUUUGUGAGAGUAUACAAAUCAGCCCUAAUAGUUUAAGUGAACCUAGCUUUGUUGACAAGGUAUCUAGAAACCAAAAUUUUCAUGAUUUCUGGAACAUGCAACACCUUUUUCAAUAUUACUGUUUUUUCUGAGGUGAACUUGAGCUCAACAUCCCCUACUCCAGCAACAUUAGUUGAGUGAGAGUCACCCAACAAAACCCUUAUGUCUUCAACCUUAGUGUAUGACUUAAAAAGCCCACGAUCAUAGCAGACAUGGCGUGUAGCACCUGUGUCUACCCACCACCCCUCGGAUCCAUCAACCAGACACCAUUACAAUGAGUUGACCCUUAGUAAGGUUGGCUUGAGGAGCAACUCUUCGUUUGUUGCGACAGUUGCGAGCAAGAUGUCCAGGUUUGUCAUAGUUGUAGCACAAAAAUGGCUUAACUGUUUCAUCUCUUGAGGGGGUAAUUUUCUGGUGUUGUUUCGAUAUGUGUUAUGUACCUUCAUAGGAUUUUUGUUACUAGAGUGAAUCUUAGUAGCAUUCUUUAGAUUCUUGCUGUUAGGUUUGAGGACAACAGUUGCAUGGUUCUUUGAGUGUGGUUUCUUGUUGGCAUUGGAGAUGACCAGAAAUUCCUCUUUCAUGUCUUGUUUCCUUGCCUCUUCCUCGAUUCGAAGACGCGUGUUCAAGCUUUCUAGAGAAAACUCCUUUGUCUUGUGUCGCAGAAGCUUCUUGAAUUCUUUCCAGCUUUGUGGUAGUUUGUCAAUGAUCACAGCAACCUGGAAUUGUUCAUCCAGGUUCAUUCCCUCAGACGCGAUCUCAUGGGCAAUCUUCUGCAACUCAUGUGAUUGGGUCUCCACAGGUUUGUCAUCCACCAUUUAGAACUUGAGAUAUUGGCUUACUGCAAACUUCUUUGCUUCAGCUUCUUCAGUAUCAUACUUAUUUUGGAGAGCAUCCUAAAGUUCCUUAGCAGAAUCACAAGAAGAAUAGUAAUCAUAGAGAUCAUCACAUAAGCCAUUUAAUAUGUAGUUUUUGCACAGAAAGUCAUUUUUAGCCCAGGUUUGAAACAAUUUAAAUUGUUCAGUAAUUGGAUGUUCAGGUAAUAGUGGCAUCUCAGAGGUGCAAUUUGAGGCAAUUUUCUUGGUGGUCAGGAAAAACAACAUAUUUUGCCUCCAACGUUUGAAGUGAAGUCCUUCAAACUUGGUGGGUUUGUUCAAAUCAGCGACAAAGGGAUUGAUUUCAGUGUCCAUGGCAGAUAAAAAUCAUUUUAAAACUGUUGAGGGUACUGCACAAAUUCAAAAUAAAGAACGAAGUUACUAGGAAAACAAAUAUUGCAUACUUCACUAUGGGUUGAGUCGUGGACAAUGUCGCUUUCUUUAAGAUGUUUUGUAGCUCUGCCCAAGUUGUGCAAGCAGUCUAAAAUACCACAAUGUCCCCAGGACAAAACAUCCUAGAAAACACCUCUGUAUAGACAUUCCUUUGCACUAAGGAAGAUCUAAAGCUUUCACUACUCUUAUACUCAAAGUUCUUCUAGUUUUUCUUAGUUUUUCUCAGUGUGUUUUUACAUAGCAGAAAACCCUAGUAAUUAUACACAAUUGCAAGACUUUAACGUUGAAGUAGUUAAGCUAAUCACGCCCAAGAAUUCAGGCCAUAAAACAAGGGAGUAAAACCACUUUGUUGAGAAAGAAUAGAUCUCCUAAAUCAAAAUAAAAUCUUGCAGUUUAAGAAAAGAUUUUUUUCCAUAAAAAUAGGAAACCAACGUUAAUAGAAAACUAACUCUAAUAAUUUUAAAUAAACAUAAAAUCCCAACACCCUCAACUACAGACCCUCUAUAUUUCCACCACCAACCUGCAGAUCCGUCCAUUUCAAUCAUUUUCUUCCAUACCAUCUUCCCUUAACCAAACAUUAGGUCUUGAAGUUUUGGGCUGCUUCUAUUUGAUGUGGAUUAAGAUUUUAUCAGCUGUUUUUACUUUUGGGACUAUUGCUUUUGAUGCCUUCUUGUAUCCGUUUACUGCUGGUGCCGUUCUUCGACCUUACCACAUUUAUGGAUUUCACAUCUGCGGUGGUGGGUUUAGUUUAAGGGUCAUGUUUGACCCAUCCCUUGAUCGAUUGAGGAUGACGCUGGUUGUUGACUCCUGUUGGAUGCUACAAUACCAUCCUAUCCAGAUCUACUAUUGAGGCUUUGGUCUCUUCUUUGAUGUUCGGGUUUCUGACAGCAGCGAUAGUAGGAAGGUUGUAGAAGUUGUUAGGGUUUUUGUGUGUUUUGAUUUUUUUUGUUGUGGGUACCAAUGUCUUUGGGCUCUUACUUUUGUUUAUAUGGAGGGUCCAACCCAAUGUCUUGUGCUUAUUUUUGUACUUCGGCCUUCUUUACUGUAAUCUUUUUUUGUUGGUAACGAAUUUACCUUUGACCAAAAAAAAAAACCUCAUUGACCUAUUUAUAAUUGAAAUAAAUUUGAUUGACAUAUUGUCAAUAUCAUAACAUUUAAUUGAUUUUAUAUAAAAUCACCCAAGAAUAAAAAAGAACUUGUAUAGAAAAAUUCCAUGUCCCUUCAUAAAACAGCGUCCUGGACUCUCUGGUUUUUAGUACAAAACAACACCAAAAUUUGCCAACGAGCUUCAAGCUUCAAGGUAAGAAAACGAAACGACGCCAAAAUUUGACACAAACAGACGGACAAGUGAGCAUUGAGAAUAAGAGCAAAGGGCUCCAGAUGCCACCAGCUGCAUAGAUUGGGUGCGCGCACCCCCUCCAUCUAGUUGCUGUUGUCCUUCCAAAUCCGGCCAGAGAUCCGAAGCUUGAGCUCCUUCCUGUCUCCACCCGAGAAAAACAGUGCCAUGUUAUGCUGGAUUAUGAGACCGUCAUGGUUAUUCCUGACCUUCUGAUGGCUGUCACGGAUGCUCCGAGGGGUUCCUUCCCAUAUUAGUUUCCUGCCGUUGUUGCCCACCUCCAGUCUGUAGCUGAAGCUUCGUGCCUCAGCUGCGUCGCCCAUGAAGCGAAGGAAUGCAAUGUAGACCGGAGCUAUGCCGAGGUGGAAGGCUUCAAAGUGCAGACAGAAGUACUUGUUGUAACAGUUAAACACCUAAUAAAACAUGAAGAACAUGGAAGGUGAGCAUCUAGGAAAACAAUCGCAUUGUUCUGGUUACCAAUUUACCAUAGAUUCCACGAAGUAGGGCCAACCUAUUUGGUUAAAGGCUUCGGGCUCGUUUGGGGAGGUUUUUCUUGGAAAUGUAUAUGCUCAUAAGUGCUUUUAUUAGAAGCAGAACAAAGUUCUUAGGGUCUGUUUGCAAUUGUUUUUGGAAUGGCCAUAAGUGCUUUAUGACAACUAAAAGCGCUUCUGGUUGCAUUGGCAGGGAAUUUUAAAAGUAUUUUGGGGUCAUAAAAAUGCUUUCUGGAGAAGCACUUGUCAGAUGUUUCCUCAAUAAACACUCACAAGUGCUUUUCUUCCUGCUCAAUUUUUUAUUGAAAAUUUCAACAUGCUUCUAACAACAUUUUUAGUAGAAGUAAUUCUACAAAAGCAAUCCUAAACGACAAAUCGCUUUUGGAAGUGCUUUUUUAAAGUACUUCUCCAUAAAGCAUCCACAAAAAAAAUUACUUUUAUAAUCCUUAUGAUUUUGCCAAACAUCUAAAAGCAGUGUCAAACGAGCCUUUCAAUAUCACUUACUCUAAACUACUCUAAAUUCAUUCUCAAUUUCAACAAAUCAAAAUUUAAACAACGAAACAACACUUACCAUUAGCAUCCUUGCUGCACACUCCACUUCGAGGCUAUUCGACUUAACAUAGAGGUGAUUAAACGUUGGCCCAAUGUGUAAGUCAACCUUGUGAUCUUCUCUCAGAUGGUCAACCAAAAAAGGAACAUCCCCAACCUCUGAGCACUCAUCACAUCCAGGAUAAGGGCAACUGUAUGGUCUGUAGUUGCAGUGAGCCUCAUGCCUGAGUUUGAUGUAGUAAGGGAAGAUCUCCAUGCACCCCAAAGAACAAUACUUGCUUGGAAGUUCUAGUGACUCUGCCACCUUCUCCAACGCCAGACAUCGAAUGUCUCCGAGUUUUUCUAGACACGCCGGGCACCGGUUCACUGUCAACUUGCAGAUUGAGCAAAGAAUGUGACCAUUAGGGCACUGCAGAACAGACUUUUGGGAUCAACUAGUUUUAAGUUCUAACACACGUAAUGUAAGUAGUCAAUCUGAAUGAAAGUAUAGUAGCUACUGAGUACUGAAGAUAAAACCUCACACCAGCAAGAAAGUGGGAAGCAAGGGGUGAAUAUCAGUAUUAGACCAAUUAAUAGUGGUUACUGGUCCAUCUUUGUGAAAUAUCUAACCUUGUGUUUUGAACGAGGGACUUUUAAAAAUAAUAGAGGGACCUUUAAAAAUAAUGGAGGGACUUGAAAAUAACCUAGAUCCAAAACAUUUGAGAGAACUUUCUAAUGACACCUAUCAAUGUGUCAUCUUGAAAGUCGUUUGUAGUGACACAUUGAGUAAUUCAUUGUGCACAUUUUGUAGUGUAUUUUGUAGUAUUUUAUGAUGGUUUUAUAGUGAUUGAGUAAUUCAUUAAUUGUCUUUGUAGUGCAUUAGGAAAUACCCUCAUCUAGAUUUGCAUUUCCUAAACCAAUCAAAACUCAUCAUAGCCACCAAAAUCAAUCAUAAUACUACCAAAAAAAAAAAAGGAAAUUUUGAAAAGUAAUCACACUUGACUCUUUAUAGACUUCUAACCACUUAUUUAGAUUCAGAAUUUUAACCACAUGCACUAGAAAGAUUCAACCGUUACUCUCAAGCAAAGCAAGUAUCUGAUGAUACGCUCGGGGAAGUCUUGAGUGGUUAGAUUUCUAAAUCCCAAGAAAAAAAAGGCUAAAAAUCUUCAAUGUGUUAAAUAUAUUUGACUAAUUUCCAACAAAAAAAAA
rnacentral:lncRNA from 1 species